rnacentral:rRNA from 1 species
AGAGUUUGAUCCUGGCUCAGAACGAACGCUGGCGGCAGGCUUAACACAUGCAAGUCGAGCGCCUCGCAAGAGGAGCGGCAGACGGGUGAGUAACGCGUGGGAAUCUACCCAUCUCUACGGAACAACUCCGGGAAACUGGAGCUAAUACCGUAUACGUCCUUCGGGAGAAAGAUUUAUCGGAGAUGGAUGAGCCCGCGUUGGAUUAGCUAGUUGGUGGGGUAACGGCCUACCAAGGCGACGAUCCAUAGCUGGUCUGAGAGGAUGAUCAGCCACAUUGGGACUGAGACACGGCCCAAACUCCUACGGGAGGCAGCAGUGGGGAAUAUUGGACAAUGGGCGAAAGCCUGAUCCAGCCAUGCCGCGUGAGUGAUGAAGGCCCUAGGGUUGUAAAGCUCUUUCAACGGUGAAGAUAAUGACGGUAACCGUAGAAGAAGCCCCGGCUAACUUCGUGCCAGCAGCCGCGGUAAUACGAAGGGGGCUAGCGUUGUUCGGAAUUACUGGGCGUAAAGCGCACGUAGGCGGAUUGUUAAGUUAGGGGUGAAAUCCCAGGGCUCAACCCUGGAACUGCCUUUAAUACUGGCAAUCUCGAGUCCGAGAGAGGUGAGUGGAAUUCCGAGUGUAGAGGUGAAAUUCGUAGAUAUUCGGAGGAACACCAGUGGCGAAGGCGGCUCACUGGCUCGGUACUGACGCUGAGGUGCGAAAGCGUGGGGAGCAAACAGGAUUAGAUACCCUAGUAGUCC